AGCGAACGCUGGCGGCAGGCCUAACACAUGCAAGUCGAACGAACCUUCGGGUUAGUGGCGGACGGGUGAGUAACACGUGGGAACGUGCCUUUUGGUUCGGAACAACUCAGGGAAACUUGAGCUAAUGCCGAAUGUGCCCUUCGGGGGAAAGAUUUAUCGCCAUUAGAGCGGCCCGCGUCUGAUUAGCUUGUUGGUGAGGUAAAGGCUCACCAAGGCUACGAUCAGCAGCUGGUCUGAGAGGAUGAUCAGCCACAUUGGGACUGAGACACGGCCCAAACGCCUACGGGAGGCAGCAGUGGGGAAGCUUGCGCAAUGGGCGAAAGCCUGACGCAGCCAUGCCGCGUGAAUGAUGAAGGUCUUGGGAUUGUAAAAUUCUUUCACCGGGGACGAUAAUGACGGUACCCGGAGAAGAAGCCCCGGCUAACUUCGUGCCAGCAGCCGCGGUAACAC
rnacentral:rRNA from 1 species